rnacentral:rRNA from 1 species
GACGAACGCUGGCGGCGUGCUUAACACAUGCAAGUCGAACGGAAAGGCCCUGCUUGCCGGGUACUCGAGUGGCGAACGGGUGAGUAACACGUGGGUGAUCUGCCCUGCACUUCGGGAUAAGCCUGGGAAACUGGGUCUAAUACCGGAUAGGAGCCAUUUUUAGUGUGAUGGUUGGAAAGUUUUUUCGGUGUAGGAUGAGCUCGCGGCCUAUCAGCUUGUUGGUGGGGUAAUGGCCUACCAAGGCGGCGACGGGUAGCCGGCCUGAGAGGGUGGACGGCCACAUUGGGACUGAGAUACGGCCCAGACGCCGACGGGAGGCAGCAGGGGGGAAUAUUGCACAAUGGGCGCAAGCCUGAUGCAGCGACGCCGCGUGGGGGAUGACGGCCUUCGGGUUGUAAACUCCUUUCGCUAGGGACGAAGCUUUUUGUGACGGUACCUAGAUAAGAAGCACCGGCUAACUACGUG